rnacentral:rRNA from 1 species
UUACGCUGUUAUCCCUAAGGUAAUUUAUUUCAAAAUACUAAAAAUUAGGAUUAUAUGUUCAUUAAUUAAUGGUAUAAUUAUUUAAAAGUUUAUUAAAUUAUAAAAUUACCCCAAUUAAAUAUUAAAUAUAAUUUAUAUUUAAAAUAUUAUAAAUCUAAUUAUAUUUAAUAUAAAAUUCUAAAGGGUCUUCUCGUCUUUUAAUUAUAUUUAAGAAUUUUAACUUAAAAUUUAAUUUAAAUUUUUAUUUUAUUUAUAAAGUUUAUAUUUCAUUUAAUCUUUCAUUCUAGUUUUCAAUUAAAAAACUAAUUACUAUGCUACCUUUGUACAGUUAUUGAUACUGCAGCCAUUUAAUUUUCAUUGGGCAGAUUAGACUUAAAAUUAUUUUCAAUAAGACAUGUUUUUGUUAAACAGGCG